rnacentral:rRNA from 1 species
GACGAACGCUGGCGGCAUGCCUAACACAUGCAAGUCGAGCGAGCAGAUCCCUUCGGGGUGAAGCUAGCGGCGGACGGGUGAGUAACACGUGGGCAACCUGCCUCAUAGAGGGGAAUAGCCUUCCGAAAGGAAGAUUAAUACCGCAUAAGAUUGUAGCUUCGCAUGAAGCAGCAAUUAAAGGAGCAAUCCGCUAUGAGAUGGGCCCGCGGCGCAUUAGCUAGUUGGUGAGGUAACGGCUCACCAAGGCGACGAUGCGUAGCCGACCUGAGAGGGUGAUCGGCCACAUUGGGACUGAGACACGGCCCAGACUCCUACGGGAGGCAGCAGUGGGGAAUAUUGCACAAUGGGGGAAACCCUGAUGCAGCAAUGCCGCGUGAGUGAUGACGGCCUUCGGGUUGUAAAGCUCUGUCCUAAGGGAAGAAUACAGUGACGGUACCUUAGGAGGAAGCCCCGGCUAACUACGUGCCAGCAGCCGCAGUAA